rnacentral:rRNA from 1 species
UACGAACUGUGCGAACGUUAUUCGGAAUCACUGGGCUUACAGGGUGCGUAGGCGGCUUGUUAAGUAGGGUGUGAAAGCCCCCGGCUCAACCGGGGAAUUGCGCCCUAAACUGGCGAGCUGGAGUGAGAUAGGGGUGUGUGGAACUUCCGGUGGAGCGGUGAAAUGUGUUGAUAUCGGAAGGAACGCCGGUAGCGAAAGCGACACACUGGGUCUUGACUGACGCUGAGGCACGAAAGCCAGGGGAGCGAACGGGG